GACGAACGCUGGCGGCGUGCUUAACACAUGCAAGUCGAACGGAAAGGCCCUGCUUUUGUGGGGUGCUCGAGUGGCGAACGGGUGAGUAACACGUGAGUAACCUGCCCUUGACUUUGGGAUAACUUCAGGAAACUGGGGCUAAUACCGGAUAGGAGCUCCUGCUGCAUGGUGGGGGUUGGAAAGUUUCGGCGGUUGGGGAUGGACUCGCGGCUUAUCAGCUUGUUGGUGGGGUAGUGGCUUACCAAGGCUUUGACGGGUAGCCGGCCUGAGAGGGUGACCGGCAACAUGGGGACUGGGAUACGGCCCAGACGCCUACGGGAGGCAGCAGGGGGGAAUAUUGCACAAGGGGCGGAGGCCUGAUGCAGAAACGCCGGGUGCGGGAGGACGGCUUUCGGGUUGGAAACCGCUUUCGCCUGUGACGAAGCGUGAGUGACGGUAAUGGGUAAAGAAGCACCGGCUAACUACGU
rnacentral:rRNA from 1 species